AGCCGUGUGAAAAUUUUGUAAAUAACUUUUAAGUUUUAUGAUUAAAAAGAAUUGAAUUUGCAAUUGAUAAGAUUGUAUAAUAAAGUUCUACUAGAAACUUAUGCCAAAACAAUGGCAAGCAGCUUUGAUUUUAUUUAAUUUCCAAUUUGAUGUAAUUAGUAUUUUCCCGCCAAAAGUUUGGUGAGCGUUUGGCGCCUCUUAUAGUCAUGUGACUUUAAACCAGGGUUGGAUUUUUUCAUAUUGUCCAGUGGGUUUGAAUUGUUCAGACGUUUGAGUUUUAGUUAUAGUUGGAGUUAUUUCGCCAUCGUGUUGCACCAAAGAAGCUUUGAAAUAUAGUUUACAGCUUUACAUUUGAUAAAUAUCAAGCCUAAAGUCCAUAACUUUGGUAAGUUAUACUAUUUAGACUGUUUAAGCAAUAUAAAAGUCAACUAAAGCAAUAAUAUAAAUAUUUUGUUUUUAAUCUUAUUUUUCUCACUUAUUAAAUAUAAAUAAGU